UACGAAGGGGGCUAGCGUUGCUCGGAAUCACUGGGCGUAAAGGGUGCGUAGGCGGGUCUUUAAGUCAGGGGUGAAAUCCUGGAGCUCAACUCCAGAACUGCCUUUGAUACUGAAGAUCUUGAGUUCGGGAGAGGUGAGUGGAACUGCGAGUGUAGAGGUGAAAUUCGUAGAUAUUCGCAAGAACACCAGUGGCGAAGGCGCUCACUGGCCCGAUACUGACGCUGAGGCACGAAAGCGUGGGAGCAAACAGG
rnacentral:rRNA from 1 species